rnacentral:rRNA from 1 species
AUCCCAGACUCCUACGGGAGGCAGCAGUGGGGAAUAUUGCACAAUGGGGGGAACCCUGAUGCAGCGACGCCGCGUGAGCGAUGAAGUAUUUCGGUAUGUAAAGCUCUAUCAGCAGGGAAGAAAAUGACGGUACCUGACUAAGAAGCCCCGGCUAACUACGUGCCAGCAGCCGCGGUAAUACGUAGGGGGCAAGCGUUAUCCGGAUUUACUGGGUGUAAAGGGAGCGUAGACGGUCCUGCAAGCCAGAUGUGAAAGCCCGGGGCUCAACCCCGGGACUGCAUUUGGAACUGUAAGGCUAGAGUGUCGGAGAGGCAGGCGGAAUUCCUAGUGUAGCGGUGAAAUGCGUAGAUAUUAGGAGGAACACCAGUGGCGAAGGCGGCCUGCUGGGCUUUUACUGACGCUGAGGCUCGAAAGUGUGGGGAGCAAACAGGAUUAGAUACCCCCGUA